AGACCGUUAUUUGCUCGAGUUCCCUCAACUUUUUUGUCGCAAAUAACAUUAUUAAUAACCUGUAAAUAAUAAAAUUUGUACACAUUACGUUCCUUUUCACGUUGUAAUAGUAUGUUUUUGGUUUAAUAGUCGGCUUUAAGUUAGUUUUUCUGUCAGUUUGAUCGUCAAAAUCUUGAAAGUUAUCUACAGCCACACAUCCACUGUAUACCAAGUUAUGAUGAUCAAUUAUGAGAAUGCAAAAUGAUUUAUAGAUCAGUAAACAAUCAACAAAAAGGUAAUGUCUUAAUUAAUAUAUUUCUGCUUUUGUUACUUAUUCAUGUAUUUGAAUUACAUCAUUCAAAAUCAAAUGUUAAUAAUUAUAGGGUUUCAACUUGUUGCAGCUUUACAAAAAAUGUAGAAUUUGUAGGAGCAUGGACAACUGAGUAACAAAGUCAUAUUAUGCAGAUGGGUGCUCAUGGUGGCCUCCAAAUAAAUACAUGGACAGGCUGCUAAAGAGGGUCAGGAUGAUGGAGAUGCAAGAGCCAAAGACAGCACGGACCAAACACCAGGCCAGAAUUCUGCAUGAGUCAGUUUCCAGCCUUUUUCACAAAGUUGCCGACAACUGGAAGAAUGUCCCAAAUUGCUGAAAAAAGAAAUUCAAUUGAGUAAUUUUCACUCUAGAGACCCUGGGGUGACCACCAAGGACGAAUGAAAACUCCAGUGAGUGUCUCUAAGGUAGAUCCUAAUGCAGAUGGAUGGAAUGUUGAUCCGCCUAACAUGCAAGAUUUUCUGCACCGAGAACUUUGGAUGACCAUCAAGACAAGCACUCGUUUUGAGUCCUGAGACCCUGGGGUGACCACCGUGAACAAAUACAGACUGCAAAAAGGCAGUCUUGACGGUUCUAGGAUGAAUGCAAAUAAAGACUGACCACCUGACUUCAGCGGUCCAGUCUCUUGUGGGAAGCAGGUGUUUGUAACCCCAAAUACGGAUGAAGAGUGACGAAGAGGAUGAUGACUUUUUUCUCAAACAUCAUCUGAAGAUCUUGACAGGCUGGAGACAAAAUUAACAGACUGAGGGUUUAUACAAAGAAUCUUACUCAGCCAAUAUUAAAGAUAAGAUAUUUUUACAAAAUGUUCUUUUCAUUGUUUAGGAUGAUUUUAUGUAGAAAACAAUACAUCACAAAAAAGACUUUAGCUGGGUUUUCACAGGCAGUGCCUUACACACACACUAACCACAAUUAUAAACGCAACACUAACACAGAUUUAGACAGAUUUGUGAAUAAUAUUUGAGAGAAAUAGGCCUUUUGGGGACAUAGAAAAUAUUUAAGUUCAGCUCAUUAAAUGAAAAAUGGGGGCAAAAAAUGUUUUAACAAGUGCAAUACAAAUAUCAACCAUAAUACUGAUCGUUUAAAAAAAAGUAAGCCACUAUAUCUUUCUAGAAUCUUACAUAAGACUCAGUUACAUAAA